rnacentral:misc_RNA from 1 species
GUAGGUGAACCUGCGGAAGGAUCAUUAACACUUUUAUCCUUUUAUUAAAAAUCCCAAUGUGAACUUGUAAUCUACCCCUUCUUAAUCUUUUCUUCAUUGAUUGGAUUGUGAAGGGCCCUUAGGUUUUUUCUUCUCUUCUCUUUUUCCCUUUUGGGUUAAAGAGUUUUGAUGAAGGAGAAACGGUAUUCCUUUUCACCAUUUUAACUCCUAUAAUCAACCUUUAAUGUUGAACUAAAUCCAAUCGCUUUCUUUCUUUUUCCCUUAAUAAGGAGAGAGGAGAUAGUGAGUUAUCUUACGUAAUGUAUGAACAACUCUUAGCAAUGGAUAUCUUGGUUCUC